GGGGGUGUAGUGGAUUCGACGGGAUGAGUAGCAUCGCAGGCUGCAUGCCGAGUUCGAGCGAUGAAUCUCGUAAAAAAUCAUCAUGCAUUAAAUGUAGUUGACAACAACUAUUCUUAUAGCUUGGCUGCGUAACGCAGCUUAGCCGUUCUCACGGUUUCUUGCCUGUCAGUGCCGCUGAGAGCGCCGAUUAUGACAGGAUAGCAUAGCACCCUGUCUUCCGUCAGGUGCUGUGUAAACUUCCUGCGGAAUAGUCUGUGGUUGUGUGUUACCGAGCGUUGCCACAGGCGAAACUAAAUUCGGUAACUAAGCAUGUAGAUGCUUGAACGAUAUACCAUCUCGGACCGGGGUUCGAUUCCCCGCACCUCCACUU
rnacentral:tmRNA from 1 species